rnacentral:rRNA from 1 species
UGGGGAAUAUUGGACAAUGGGGGAAACCCUGAUCCAGCAAUGCCGCGUGAGUGAAGAAGGCCUUCGGGUUGUAAAGCUCUUUUACCCGAGAAGAUAAUGACGGUAUCGGGGGAAUAAGCACCGGCUAACUUCGUGCCAGCAGCCGCGGUAAUACGAAGGGUGCUAGCGUUGUUCGGAAUGACUGGGCGUAAAGGGCGUGUAGGUGGUCUUAUGCGUCAGAUGUGAAAGUCCUGGGCUUAACCUGGGGAUUGCAUUUGAUACGAUAAGACUAGAGGUUUUGAGAGGGAAAUGGAAUUGCGCAUGUAGAAGUGAAAUUCGUAGAGAUGCGCAGGAACACCAGUGGCGAAGGCGAUUUCCUGGCGAAGACCUGACACUAAAGCGCGAAAGCGUGGGGAGCAAACAGG